rnacentral:rRNA from 1 species
GACGAACCGUGCGAACGUUAUUCGGAAUCACUGGGCUUAAAGCGCGUGUAGGCGGGACGGCACGUCGGUCGUUGAAAGCCCCCGCUCAACCGGGGAACCGGCGCCGAUACGACCGUCCUGGAGGGACGUAGGGGGACCUGGAACUUCCAGUGGAGCGGUGAAAUGCGUUGAGAUCGGAAGGAACGCCCGUGGCGAAAGCGAGGUCCUGGACGUUUUCUGACGCUGAGACGCGAAAGCCAGGGGAGCGAACGGG